rnacentral:rRNA from 1 species
GAUGAACGCUGGCGGCGUGCUUAACACAUGCAAGUCGAACGAAGCAUUUAUCUUCGAAAUCUUCGGAUGGAAGAGAUUUAUGACUGAGUGGUGGACGGGUGAGUAACGCGUGGAUAACCUGCCUCAUACAGGGGGAUAACAGUUAGAAAUGGCUGCUAAUACCCCAUAAGCAUACAAAGACCGCAUGGUCUGGUGUGAAAAACUUUUGUGGUAUGAGAUGGAUCCGCGUCUGAUUAGCUAGUUGGUGGGGUAACGGCUCACCAAGGCGACGACCAGUAGCCGGCCUGAGAGGGUGAACGGCCACAUUGGGACUGAGACACGGCCCAAACUCCUACGGGAGGCAGCAGUGGGGAAUAUUGCACAAUGGGGGAAACCCUGAUGCAGCGACGCCGCGUGAGCGAAGAAGUAUUUCGGUAUGUAAAGCUCUAUCAGCAGGGAAGAACAUGACGGUACCUGACUAAGAAGCCCCGGCUAACUACGUGCCAGCCGCCGCGGUAACAC